ensembl:lncRNA
CUAGUAAUUCCCUAGUAGCAGCAUGUAUUUAUGCUAAUCUGGUUUGGAAUAUGUGGUUUGGUAUUGAUGUGUUCUUAGAGGUUUAGGCUGUGGGUUUAUUAGCUGCAGGACCAGAAUAACAUUUGAGUGCUGUGAUGAAACAAAAUUAUGUUCCUGAAGUGUUUAAGCAUGCUGCACUUGCUGUUGUUAAGCAGCUUCUGCUUGAAAUUAAUUCCAUGGGGAAAUAAAAGACCUUGGCUAAUGGAAUUACGUCAGUAUAUUUGGAAUAUGAAAAAGGAAAGCAAUUAAAAAUAGAAUAUUAAUUAAUUAAUCUUACAGCUUCCUCUUAAAGAUUUAGUGUUUGAAGGAGCGCUGUAAUAAACUCUAGCAAGAUAAUACUAAUAAAACAAAUAUAAUUUGACAGAGUUGGCUUAUUAGAUAUUAUUAAUUGAGUAUGAGUUGAAAGUUGUGUCUUAGUGUUUACAGAGAAUAAAAAUAGCUGGUUCAUUAGCUGUCAGUAAUACUUUUUAACAUCAGUUUAUGCCAUUUGUGGCUUUAUUUAAUAAAAAAUCUUGACAGGAGUUUAAAGAAAUUUCUCAUUUAAGCUUUAUUAAACUGCUAAGGAAGAAGACUGGUGCAAAACCUUCUGUGCAUAAUGCGUGGAUCUCGGACAAGCCAGGCUUUAGAGGUUAUUUAGAGACCAUACACUUCAGUAUUCAGGAUUUGGAAGUGAAUCCCACUUUUCACUUUUAAAUCCCAGCUCCCAGCUGACGUUCUCAACCCUCCAUCAUCACCAGAGUUUCAGCCUGAUGUCUAUAAUCAUGUCAAACUGUUUGUUAGUGAUUUUUUUCCAUGUGCUAUGUUUUCAACCCCCAGUGAUGUGUCCAUGAUAGAUGGGAGAGCACAUGGCUGCUAUUUUUUGACCUUGGCUAUCCCCAGUUGGAGCAGCGUUUUUGGAUCCGCUGUCAGCAAGAAAUAGGUCCUCACAGUGCUGGAUUCACAGGAACACCGAGCUUGGGCAGCACAUUCCUGUCUUCCCUAAUGGAACAUUGGGGCUCCACAUGGCUGGGAAAGAGGAUGAAGGAUGGCUAUGGUGUGCAACAGCUCCCACAGCUUUGUCUUCUCCAAAGAGAGUUCAAGGAGCAUAAACAUUUAAAGCAACUACAGAACUUGUGAAGUCAACUACAGGACUUGAGUGUGGUGAAUCCACACUCUUGAAUCUAACAGAGACAAAGCUGAAGCACUUCUUCAGGUGGUCUGGAAAAAAAGAAAACACAGAAAUGACUUGGUGCUUCAUGUUUUUGGUACCACGAGGGAUAUGUGAAGAGUUCUGUGACUGUUUUAGCCAUCUCACACUAGGCAGGAUGCAGGAACAUGACACUGGCUGAAUACUCUACAGAGGCAAAGGCAGAGCCUCUCCCCUCAACACCAGGAUGUGAUCUGCAGGAAGCAAAGGGAGGAGGCCCUGCUGGCACCCUGAGGUGUGGACAGAAGUGAUUCCUGCACUGGAGUGCUGAGCACUGCAACACUAGAGCAUCACGUGUGAGCUGGGCCGUCCAGGGAACAGAUGUGUGUCCUCUUGGGCUCCUUUCCUGCUGUGUUUUAUAGUUCUAGGAAGUGAUGGAGGUAGUGGGUAAAGCGAAGUGAAAUUCAGAUGUUCUGCUUGAGAGACGCGGCGAAGACUGAGGUUUCAAUUUACACUUUUUCUGAGUUUUCAGUAAACAGACAAAUCUAGUAACUGUAGAAACUUGGCUUCAGCUGUGAACAGACAUUUUUGUUUGCUUUCUGCUUUAAACAACAUACUUCCUCAUGGAGGAUGUUACUCAGCUCGGAUUUCCAUAAUUACUUAUGGAGCAUCCUACAGCUAGUCCUUACCAUCCUGUGAGUCCCCAUGCUGGUUAUUUUCCUGCCAGCACCAGACUGAUCAAUGAGGACCUGAGGAAAACAUGUUAGGCUUUUAUGGGAAUGCUUUGCAGGGGGAGGUUUUGAUGAAAAUGCUUUAAAACUGCAGGUACUGGUCACAAACUGUCCUUGCUGGGGUUUGAUGGCUGUUCUGCAGAAUUCAGUUACUGCAGCCCUCCAGGAUGUGAGCAUUUGAAGGUUGAUCAUGUCAUUUUGAGAUUUAUUAACUCUUGGUGUUCCAAACUGACCACAGUAUCCUUGCUGAAUUUUGAUCUAGUAACAGCUGUGAGGUGGAAUGUUGGCAGGUUGCUCUAAAGAGGAGUAAGAAACAACUUGUGUUGGGCAGUCAAAGGGGAAGGUCUGGAGCCGUGCCUGCAUUAACCACGGGGUGGCAAAGGCAAUGUGGAGCUGCCUGUCUGAAAAUGCUGUAAAGGUCCUCAGCAUGAGGGGAGAAGGCAGAAGUGUGCCUGUGUGCUGUCAGAUGAUUAUGCGUAGUAUUUCUUUUCUAGUUGUAUAUAAACUCCUUAAAAAUCCCUUCUGAUGAAGGAGGGGUCUCAUGGUCAUGAAAUAAACACUUUGUAGUUCUGUUCUUGUGUCCCUUU